ACCAAUGCCACUGAUUUCAGUGGGAGGAGAGUCGGGCCAGCACUUAGUUUUCUGAAAAUUCCCAGAAUUUCUAUGAACUUUAAAGUAACUUUCCUUUCCUGGAAGUCAAAUGAUUUAUUAGCUUCACUGUAGUGGCAAAAUACGGUAUAAAAAUGCACACAGAAUCGUGUUUUAUAAAAUGUUUGCAGAAUUAAAAAGGAAACUCUCUCUCACUGUUAUGGGGGGGAGGAGCGGGAUUAAUUUAGGAAUAGAAUGGAAUAGUAAAUUGGAGAAAAUGAUCUCAAUUUGACAUUUUCAGGCUAAUUUAAAUGUUCUGGUAUCUUUCACUGUAGAGAAUCUUUAAUAGGCCAGACUAUCACCAUCUGAUGUAAGUUUUAGUGUUACCAACAAAUAUAGCUGAGGAUAUUUUUAGGAAAACAAUUUUUAGGAAAUUGCCAACUGUAAGUGUUCAAAUAUGAGCCAGCCCCCCACCCUAAAUCAUGACAUACAUGUAAUAAGUUUUUCUCCAUUGUUUUAGUAGAGUUUCACUUUCUGUCUUAGAUACACUUUUGAAAUGUGUUAAAUUCAUCUGGUCAAGUCCAGUUUCUGUUCAGGUGAUGUCUAAAAAAAGGAGACAAAUUACAUCAGCUUCCCCAAGAGGGUUUCUCACAUUUCCAGACACACCCGGCCCCAAACUCCCUGGUGGGUGUGCAAAGGUCUAAAGGAGGAUAGGUGUAUUCUACUCAUUCAGAUAGGGAUAGAAAGGAAAUGGAUGUUUCUGGAAGAGGAAACUCUUAACUCUAGGCUAGAGUGUCGCAAAUUAUCAAGUCAUAGUGGCACACUACCAACACCAGCUCUGGGAGAAAAUGUUGGAGUUUUGCCAAGUCUUUGCCAGAUGACCAGAUAAAACUUUCAAACACCCUCACUGUAGAGUCAACAGAUAACAACACAUGCUGUAAGAGCAACAUUUGAUUCUUCAGGUGCUUCUGUUCGAGCCAUUGUUUCUGCGAUCUCCAUCAGAAGAAGAUAUGCUAGGCUGAGGUUUCUGGAGGGAGCUCUGAAGAUGUAAAUCCAAGUUUGAGGAUCUCUCCUUUGUGGGAGAAGGAGGGUGUAGCACUAUAAUGGAAGAUGUCCUUGAAAAGAGGAGAUGAGAUGCACUGGGUGUUCCUCAGCAGUCCAGGAGAAGACCUGGGAACCUGGUUUUCAAGUCCUAGAGAUGGCAAAAUCCAUCAUCUUCCUCCAUUUCACAUUUGAUAAGGAAGAUAAUGAUAACUUCUGCAAUAUCCUCCUUUAAUAGCUUUCUCAUCAAAGGAGAAGGUGUUUCAAAUUGUGAAAAAGAGGUAAAUCAUCUUCAACAUCUGUGUUGGGCCUUACAUCCCAAGUUUGACAUAAUGCGUGAGAACUGCAGUCCAAUUUUAAUCCAUUUGCCCUCCUUACCUUUCAAAGACUAUGCGUGUCACUUCUUCCAGUACUGGGUAGCUAUAACCAGAGACAAGUGGAUUUUAGAAAGCAUUCACAUGGGUCUCUGAUACAAUUUGAACCAUUCCUCCUUCCAGUUUCCUCCCCCAUCCCUAUUCGGGGUCCCCUCUCACAACUGCCUGUUGAGAUCAGAGGUUCUUGAUCCUCUGAAGGUAGAGGCUAUAGUCGAGGUACAGAGGCAGAGAAUCUUAUUCCAAAUACUUCCCAGUUCUGAAGAAGGAUGGAGAUCUGUGUUGUAUACUGGACCUCAAAAAGCUCUGUACUUUCAUCAGAAGACUCUGUUUUGGAAUGCUAAUUCUAGCCUCUAUUAUACUCAUCCUUUCUCCAAAAGAAAAGGAGUACUUGUGGCACCUUAGAGACUAACAAAUUUAUUUGAGCAU